rnacentral:rRNA from 1 species
AACAGGAUUAGAUACCCUGGUAGUCCACGCCCUAAACGAUGUCUACUAGUUGUCGGGUUUUAAUUAACUUGGUAACGCAGCUAACGCGUGAAGUAGACCGCCUGGGGAGUACGGUCGCAAGAUUAAAACUCAAAGGAAUUGACGGGGACCCGCACAAGCGGUGGAUGAUGUGGAUUAAUUCGAUGCAACGCGAAAAACCUUACCUACCCUUGACAUGUACGGAAGCCUGGAGAGAUUCGGGUGUGCUCGAAAGAGAGCCGUAACACAGGUGCUGCAUGGCCGUCGUCAGCUCGUGUCGUGAGAUGUUGGGUUAAGUCCCGCAACGAGCGCAACCCUUGUCAUUAGUUGCUACGAAAGAGCACUCUAAUGAGACUGCCGGUGACAAACCGGAGGAAGGUGGGGAUGACGUCAAGUCCUCAUGGCCCUUAUGGGUAGGGCUUCACACGUCAUACAAUGGUACAUACAGAGGGCCGCCAACCCGCGAGGGGGAGCUAAUCCCAGAAAGUGUAUCGUAGUCCGGAUUGUAGUCUGCAACUCGACUACAUGAAGUUGGAAUCGCUAGUAAUCGCGGAUCAGCAUGUCGCGGUGAAUACGUUCCCGGGUCUUGUACACACCGCCCGUCACACCAUGGGAGCGGGUUUUACCAGAAGUAGGUAGCUUAACCGCAAGGGGGGCGCUUACCACGGUAGGAUUCGUGACUGGGGUGAAGUCGUAACAAGGUAACC